AUUGAACGCUGGCGGCAGGCCUAACACAUGCAAGUCGAACGAGUGGCGGACGGGUGAGUAAUGUCUGGGGAACUGCCUGAUGGAGGGGGAUAAAUACUGGAAACGGUAGCUAAUACCGCAUACCAUCAGAUGUGCCCAUAUGGGAUUAGCUGGUUGGUGGGGUAACGGCUCACCAAGGCGACGAUCCCUAGCUGGUCUGCGAGGAUGACCAGCCACACUUGAACUGAGACACGGGCCAGCAUCUUACGUGAGGCAGCAGUGGGGAAUAUUGCACAAUGGGCGCAAGCCUGAUGCAGCCAUGCCGCGUGUAUGAAGAAGGCCUUCGGGUUGUAAAGUACUUUCAGUGGGGAGGCGUUACCGGCAGAAGAAGCACCGGCUAACUCCGUGCCAGCAGCCGCGGUAAUUC
rnacentral:rRNA from 1 species